rnacentral:rRNA from 1 species
CCUACGGGAGGCUGCAGUGGGGAAUAUUGGACAAUGGGGGGAACCCUGAUCCAGCCAUGCCGCGUGUGUGAAGAAGGCCCUCGGGUUGUAAAGCACUUUCAGUGAGGAAGAACGCCUGGUGGUUAAUACCCAUCAGGAAAGACAUCACUCACAGAAGAAGCACCGGCUAACUCCGUGCCAGCAGCCGCGGUAAUACGGAGGGUGCGAGCGUUAAUCGGAAUUACUGGGCGUAAAGCGCGCGUAGGUGGCUUGAUAAGCCGGUUGUGAAAGCCCCGGGCUCAACCUGGGAACGGCAUCCGGAACUGUGACGCUAGAGUUGAGGAGAGGAAGGUAGAAUUCCCGGUGUAGCGGUGAAAUGCGGAGAGAUCGGGAGGAAUACCAGUGGCGAAGGCGGCCUUCUGGACUGACACUGACACUGAGGUGCGAAAGCGUGGGUAGCCAACCGGAUUAGAUACCCGAGUAGUC